rnacentral:rRNA from 1 species
UCCGUAGGUGAACCUGCGGAGGGAUCAUUACCGAGUUUACAACUCCCAAACCCCUGUGAACAUACCUACCGUUGCUUCGGCGGGAUGCCCCAGUUUUGACUUAAAACUGGACCCAGGCGCCCGCCGGAGGACCCAAACUCUUGUUUUUAUAUGUAUCUUCUGAGUAAACAAGCAAAUAAAUUAAAACUUUCAACAACGGAUCUCUUGGUUCUGGCAUCGAUGAAGAACGCAGUGAAAUGCGAUAAGUAAUGUGAAUUGCAGAAUUCCGUGAAUCAUCGAAUCUUUGAACGCACAUUGCGCCCGCCAGUAUUCUGGCGGGCAUGCCUGUUCGAGCGUCAUUUCAACCCUCAAGCCCCCGGGCUUGGUGUUGGGGCUCGGCCCGUCCCUAGCGGAUGCGCAGUCCCCGAAAUCUAGUGGCGGUCUCGCUGUAGCCUCCUCUGCGUAGUAGCUAACACCUCGCAAUGGGAACGCAGCGCGGCCACGCCGUUAAACCCCCCACUUCUGAAGGUUGACCUCGGAUCAGGUAGGAAUACCCGCUGAACUUAAGCAUAUCAAUAAGCGGAGGAA